rnacentral:rRNA from 1 species
CUACGGGCGGCAGCAGUGAGGAAUUUUGCGCAAUGGGGGCAACCCUGACGCAGCAACGCCGCGUGAGUGAAGAAGGCCUUUGGGUCGUAAAGCUCUGUCAACAGGGAAGAAGUUACGAUUGUUUAAUAGAUGAUUGUAUUGACGGUACCUGUGGAGGAAGCGCCGGCUAACUCCGUGCCAGCAGCCGCGGUAAUACGGGGGGCGCAAGCGUUAUUCGGAAUUAUUGGGCGUAAAGGGCGCGCAGGCGGUCUUGUCCGUCAGGUGUGAAAGCUCGGGGCUCAACCCCGGAAGUGCACUUGAAACAGCAAGGCUUGAAUACGGGAGAGGAAAGCGGAAUUCCUGGUGUAGAGGUGACAUUCGUAGAUAUCAGGAGGAACACCGAUGGCGAAGGCAGCUUUCUGGACCGAUAUUGACGCUGAGGCGCGAAGGCGUGGGUAGCGAACGGGAUUAGAUACCCUGGUAGUC